UUUUUUUUUUUUUUGUAGAAUGAGAGGUGAUUCUUUUUUUGCUGCUGGUAAUUAUGUUCCCUAUUUGGCUUUUGCUGAUGACAUUUUGAUUUUCACAAGACGUUCGAAGGAUUGCAUUGAGGUGUUGAGGGAUUUCCUUAAUUUAAAUCAAGCUUACUCUAGGCAGAACGUUAAUGCUCAAAAAAGUUCUUUUUCGUGAUCCUCAUGUGCCAUGGAUGGGCAUCUAGCAUUGGUUUCGAAUAAGUUGUUUCACCAUCAGCAAUUUCUUUUUAUGUAUUUAGGUAUUGUUUGAUGGUAUUGUUGCUAAGAUGAGAAAUAGGCUGCAGCAUUGGAACUCUUGACUAUUAUUUCUGUGAAGGGCGAAAAGAUUAUAUUGUUGCAGCAUGUUCUUACAUCCAUGUCGGUGUACUUGUUAAAGGUACUUCAACCUCCAAUGGCAGUUUUUAUGUGAGGGUCUGAAAAUUUUCAUGUUUUAUUUAAAAUUUAGUGCAUGUUACAUUUUUCCUUUUGUUAUUAAUUGAUUUACAUGUUCAUUGCUCCUUUUAAUAAACAAAUGAAUCUGUACACCUUAGGAGAAAUUGUAUCACUUAUACCAUAAAACAUUAGUAUUAUUUAGAAUUUGUUCCGGUGGUAGAAGAAAAAACAGUGGAAACCACACGAAAAUCACCAUGCAUGACAAGUGGACUAACACUUGUCCUUGCAUGCAUGGGCACUGUCCACUUAAAAGAGAGUCACCAAAGCUUCAAACAUCAACCGCAAGAAACUUCAACUUCUAUUUUCCUCUAGGUAACCGAGAGAUAGUGAGGAAGAGAGAGCCGUCACAACCUUGCUUCUUUCUACUUCCUAAAAACUGAGUGUGAAGCCAUAGGAGGACCAGCAACUCUUUGUACUUUCUCUGCAAUUUUUGAGCUUCAAUUAAGCAACAAGGAACACUAACUCAGCUAGCUAGAGAGUCGAGUAGGAGCAAAAAAUCUUUUCCGGCAUAGGAGCCGUGAGUAGAAGAGGUAAAACACUGCUAAGUUUCCCUUAAUAGCCUACUACUUCAGUUCCUUACUGUCAUAGCUUGAGCUAACAUCAAAAUAAGAAGAAAUUCAUUGAGGAAAAGUUCAUUAAGGCUGGAAGAAUUUUGUUUAAGUUGCUGCAAUUGCCCAAUGUUGUUAAGCUGCAAACUUCUGAUUGUUUCUUCCAAAACCUGUUAGAUUAUGUUUCAUGCAUUAUAGUUUACAUAUCUUGACAUGCAUACAGUUUUUAACUUGAAACAAAGCCUGAUAAGAAUAGAUUAUAAAGAAACUCUUGCUGGAAUUCUUGAUAUGAUGAUGCAUGACUGCCGAUAGAGUGAAGCUAGAAAUUUUCAGUUUUCUUGCCAAGAGUUUUAGUUGAACUUGUUAAAACUUAUUUUAUGCACCACCUUUUGCCAUGUGAUGUUUACUGAAUUAAAGGCAAGAAAAGAUCAACUUUUGGAAGAAACAUCAAAGCUGGAAUUUUCUGGACAAAGUGUUGCAUGAAACCCAAGAGGAUAAAGCCUCAAUUUUUGGUUCUUUUCUUUAAAAUAUUUUUCUGAAUUUUGUCUAAAAUUACUCUAUAUACCUCCUAUCACUCUCUUCAUGACAUGCAUGAAGUGUUUUUCUUGAAUCCAAGUGAGAUAAAUGUUGGUUUUUGAAGGAACCUUGCUGAAAUUUCUGUUUAUGAUUGAUACUUGAGGGCUGUUGGAGUAGAGCUGAGAGUUUGCAGCUUUAACUCCAAAAUUUUGCCGGUUUUGGUCAAGAACUCACUUCAUGUACCAUUUACCUCUUUUAUCUAGACAUGCAUGUGGUAUUUGUUGAGUUAAAAGCUAGAAAAGACUGACUUUUGGAGGAAACAACAAAGCUAGAAAUUUUGUUUGAACCAUGGAGAUCGAGCUCCAUUUCUUCCAAUUUUGUUUUAGAAAUUUGUUGAGUUUUAUUAAGAAUUCAUUUCCUAUGUCAUUUACUUCAUUUAUCUUGACAUGCAUGAAGUAUAUAAUUGGAUUAAAGUAAGAAACUUGUGAUUUUUGGAAGAACUUGAGCUGAAUAGUUUUAUUGGCUAAAGAACUUGAAACUUAUGAUUUUUGUUACAUUUUGAUGGAGAAAAUUUAACAUGGAUGAGAAGGAUUAGACUUCAUUUCAUUAGUUUAUAGUGUAAGCCAAAAGGGAGGAAUUUUGUUGAAAAUAAAGCUAAACUUUCCAAGUUAAACUUUGCUGGAAAAUUUCCUAGUUAAACCAGGACCAUGAAGUUGAUUUUUCUCGCUUUAAUUUUCCAAUUUUAACAAGUUUUAUAUGGGAAUUUUGCUGUACAUACAUUUUGUUUCCUUUGUUUUGAGAUACAUAUUGAAGUAUACUUGAUUUGAUGUGAAAGUUAGCUUAAAUAUAAAACUUAAUCAAAACUAGCAAUAGUUGCAGAUUUUAAGAAAGUUGGGAUUAUUUCAUAAAUAUAUAAAGUUUAGUAAAAUACUAAAUGUUAAACUAUAAAUCAAAACCCAUAAUUUUGGGAAUUAGAUAAGUUAAGCUCGAUAGUAGAUUAACAAAGAAAGAAUACACCACCAAGUAUAUCAGAGUAAAAUUUAAGAUAAUUUAAUAAUCCUAAAUACUUAUGUUGAAUUUCAGGAAUCAAAUUUAGCCAAAAACCCCACCCCGAAGACAAUGCGUAAAGUUGGGAUUAUUUCAUAAAUAUAUAAAGUUUAGUAAAAUACUAAAUGUUAAACUAUAAAUCAAAACCCAUAAUUUUGGGAAUUAGAUAAGUUAAGCUCGAUAGUAGAUUAACAAAGAAAGAAUACACCACCAAGUAUAUCAGAGUAAAAUUUAAGAUAAUUUAAUAAUCCUAAAUACUUAUGUUGAAUUUCAGGAAUCAAAUUUAGCCAAAAACCCCACCCCGAAGACAAUGCGUGAAUUGAACCUCUCGGUGAGUAUUCCUAAUGUUAUCUAUGUUUGAUUGAUUUUGAUUGACACUUGGUGUGUAUUUGGCUGGUUAUGAUUGUUUGAAUUAAAUGAAUGGUUUGGAUGACUUUUGAAUUAAUGGAAUGUGCAAAAGUAUUGUUUUGGGAAGGGGCGUGCUUUAUCGCCCUUUCCCAAGUAAAAUUGAAAGUUAUUGUUCCAUAGUUAUACUACUUGUGCAUGUAUUGUAGGUCAGGUGUGUGAGAACCCAAAAAUUAUUUUAAAUUUUCUCCUAUUUUUGAAAAAUUAAUUUAUAUUUUCUUUUCAUUUUACUUUACUUGCUUAUUUGCUAGCCCUAAUUGAUAGUGUUUUUAAAGGUUAAGUUAAGAUUUUUCUCUUUUCCUUUUAUAUUCUAGUGCAUGUUAAGUUUCGUAGUACAUUAAGGUAGUUGACCGACUACUGAGAUAUACGUAUUAUAUUUGGUGGACAAGAACGGGUGUGGUAUUAGAGGAAAUAUAUGCUUAGAAGUGUUAAGAGUGUAUUAGAGGAAUAAACAAGUAAUUAGAGGAUAAGAGAGCAAAGGGAUAGGAAUGGAAUUGGAUCUUGACACUUGUCAACCAUCAAACCAAACCUUGACCAAGACUUUCCUUCCAUCUUUAUCUUCCAAUUGACCACAAUUUCUUUCAUUUUUCUUCUAUGAUGGCCGAUCCUUAAGGGAGAGAAAAGAGAGAAAAUUCCUUCAAGUUCCAUCUUGCUUUCUUGCUUGAUUUCUUGAGAAAUCCAAAGACCAACCUUAAUCCACUCUGAUAAGCCUUGAGUUAAGCUUGGAGGUGAGCUUUUGGUGGAGUGAUUUGAGGAAGAAAACUCUUGAGUUGCUUGUCAUAUUGGGAUUUUGAGGUAAAAUUCCUAGAUAACAUCUCUUUUUACUUGUUUCUUGAAAUUUAUGCAAGAUAUGUUAUGAUUGAAGUUUAAGGAAGCAUGUUUAUGGUAAAUUCAUGGUUUGCUAGGGUUUGGUUAAUUUUCAGCUUUAAUGUUCAAUUUUUAGCUUUGAGAAGAAUUUCCGACUUUGAUAAGAGAUGCUCUAGCUUUGAUAUGAAAUUUUAAGCUUUGAUAUGUGAAUUUUAGUCUUGGUGUGCAAUUUCCAGCUUUGAGAGGCAAAAUUUCUAGCCUUGAUGUAGUUACUUGAAACUUUGUAUAUAUGGAGCUGUGAUGGAUUUUCUUGUCAAGAAAAUAUGUUAUAAGCCUCAUGACAUGUUAGUUAUAAGAUAUAGUGCAUUUGCCAUGGAAUUUAAGUAAGAAAGUUGGAAGUUUUGUUAGAGAUUUUGCUGGAAAAUUUCUGUUAUGGCUGGCCAAGAGGGAGAGAAGGAAUUUCAGCUUUCUUUUUAGAAAUUUUGUGGUAAUUUUGAUAUACUCUUGUUCAAGACAUUUGUUAAAACCUUACUUUUCAUAUGUAUGUUGAUUUUGAGCCAAAAUCAAAGAUGUUUAAGAGAGGAAAGACUUAGUUUUUCAAACUGUUUGCUUGCUAGAAAUUUUCGCAGGAGGUUCUGCGCAGUUUUGGAAAAUUUACUAUAACUUCGUAUAGAAAAGUCGAAAUUGAGUUGUAUUUGUUGAGUUUGAAACUAGACUCAUACUUAUUUUAACCAUGUAAAAUUCAUGGUUUGGUUCACUUUCUAUAAAUACCAAAAAAAUUUCAAAGUUGGCUGAAAAUCCAAGACUGUCCUGUUUUUGCACUUAGUUGAGCAGUGAAUUGAGACUGAGAUUUGACUAAUUUAUGGACUGAAUUUUAUGAAAGUGUCUUCUAGCGAUUGCAGACUUUUGAGUCUAUUUUCUAACGGUAUAAAAUUUAUGAUUUUUGGACUUACGUUAUGACUUUUCAAAAAGCAUUACAAAAACUAGAAUUUUUCUUAUUAAAUGACAAACAAAACUUGGAAGGGUCUGGGAAACCUUUUCCGGUUUUAAACCUAACUUUCUCGAUUACUUGCACUCCAUUUCAUACUUGGAUCAUGGAUUUAUUAUGUAUAUGAGUUUUUUUUUUACUUGAACAAGAAAUCUCCUACCACGUUUUGACGUACAAAUGGAGCACUUCUGAAUCUUUCCUUGAGUGUUAUCUUAGUGGUUAAGUGAAGAGAAUUUCUCUCUUAAUUUGACAAGAAAUUGAGCAUGCUUGAGUGAAGGGUUAAGGGGAAAUUGUUUGGCCUUGGUUGAAUGAUUAUAGGUAAUCAUUGAUCAUUGAUUGUGCAUGUCUCAGGUAUUCAAGAGGAAUUCGAGGGAAACCCCGAGGAGAACUUGUGAAAGCUUUUUCUUGUCUUGCUUACUUGACUAUUGGUGAGUGUUCCUUGCACAUUGUGCUUCCAAUAACUAUGUGAAUUGUUGUGAAUGUUUGCUUGAAUGUUAAAUAUUUUUAAAUGGAUUUUUGAUAGGUGAGUGUGUACUUUAUUGCACUCGACCUAAGUGAACAUGAAAUUUUCAAUGAUCAAAUGAUUAAAUGUUACUUGUGCAUGAAUGUAAGCCUUUGGCUGAACUGGGCCCUUGCCCUUCGUUGCCAGUUGACUCGAGUCAGAAGCGGACUCGGUCGGGCAGCUGGUAACCCUGAGAUAGUGUUUAGUAUACUCAAGUAUGACCACAAAGUCUGGUGGAGAGCUGGCUAGUGAAUACAAUGCAAUGAUUGAAAUGAACACUGAAGAAGUUUCACUGUUAAAUGUUUUCAAAUGAUGGAGGAAUAAGGGAAAUGGUCAGCGACUGAAUGACUGAAUGAAUGGCUCCAUGUGAGUACGUAUCCUUCCAAUGAUUGAAUGUUUAUUUCUUGAAUGACUGUUUAUUACCGUGCAAAGUGUUCAAACUGUUAAAAGUAAUACUUCCAUGUUUUAUCUACCUAAUUGCUUACUUAGGAACCUCACUAGGCUUUAAGCUCAUUCCUUUGGUUUUUGUUUUCCUUAAAGGAGUGGAGGCCGGAGCAAUUAAAUGUGAACUAGAGUGUAUAACCCUCUUGUACUUAUACUUUUGGUAGAUAGAAUGUAUUUCGACAUUUGAUGUUGUAACAUACAUUUGGCUUUUUGGUUGUAAAUAAGUUUGAAUUUUGGUUGAAUUGUAGAACUUCAAUAUUAUUUUUGGAGGAUUGCACGGUUAAUCUUGAGAGUUGAUUGAAGCGAAUGAGUGAGUCUUGGUAAGAGUUGGAUAGGCGGUCCGCCAAACCCUUGGGUAGGCCCUAGGUGUGAUGCCCCGGAAGAAAAAGAAAAGACAUUUCUGCUGAACAGUGAGAAUCCGGCCGGAAAUCCGGCCAGUUCUUGGCCGGAUUCUUAGCCGGAUUGGCAGGGGUUUUGGAAAAAAAUUUGAUUUCGCCACUGUCACGAAUCCGGCGGGAAAUCCGGCCAAAUCUUGGCCGGAUUGUGACGUGGCACCUCAGCAGCCAGGUUUGACCGGCUGUUUUCCAACAUUCUUAUCUUGCUUUUGGCUGAUAUUUCCCUCAUUUCUUUCCUUGGCUUGGCCGAACCUUUUGAGAGGGAGAACAAGAGAGGAAAACUCCAUUUUUUUCCUUUGAUUUCCUUCACCAAAACUUGAGAUUUCACCAUUAGUUUUGCAACCUAUUCCAUACAAGUGCUCACUAAGGAGAUUUAAAGCUAUUGGUGGAGUUGUUUUGGAGGAGGAAGCACUAAGCUACCAAUUUUCUUGAGGUUUGAAGGUAUCUUGCUAAGAACUUCUUAUCUACUUCAAUUGAUUGUUAAUUGGUGGAUUAGAGAUGUUAUAUAUGCUAUUUUGUGGAUGAUUUCAUGAUUUUAAGUAGAGUUUGACAAAUUUCUGAUUUUAUUAGUGAAUUUUUUGAUUUUAUAUGAUAAUUGUUGGUUGGUCAUGGGAUGAUAGCUUGAUAUGGUGUCAAAUGGCGCCUUUGUGUGUUAGUUGUGGUUGUUUGCGGAAAAUUUCAUAUUUGUGUGGAAAAUUUUAGUUUUAGGGUUUCAAAUUUGGGGCUUUCUUAUGGUUGGUUAUUGAGCUCUUAAUUGGUUAAGAUUUAAGGGUAUUGUGGCCCUAAUUAGGUGUGUUUUAUAGCUUAUGAUUUGUAUGUGAAAAUGUGGUGGAAUUGAGAUGUGAUUGGUGCUGUAUUGUAGGAUGGAAAAUAAGGAAAUUACGGGAAAGUGCUGUCCAAUCUUUGAGAGCAUUUGAUUGCUUUGAGUUUGAGUUAAUUCUUGGUAGAAAUAAAAUGCUUGGACUUGAUCGAGGAAACUGUCUAUGAUGGACAAGGUUCAUGAGCUAUGGUUGGUGAGUGACCCCAAAACUAUUUCCAAAGUUACUUCCAAACUAUUUCUUGCAUUGCUUACUCGAUUGCAUAUCAUGAGUGCUUGCAUGUAUAUCAUGAAAUGAUUUGGCUCCAAUGAGUUCCUGGAAAGUCUUGUGCUUAAACUCAACGUUUCCACCACUGUUUAUUUGGAGCACUGAUGGCUCCCUAUUACUAUUUGAUUGUUAAUUGAUCCGUUUGAACGUUGGAGUUCUAAGGACGAGGAUUUCACUGGCUCAUAAGAGCAACAAACUUACAUUUGAUCAUUGAUUCAUGAACAUCAUCUAAAUGCAUUAUUGUGAAAUGUACUUGAUUAUUGAUUUUUACUGGAUACUCGCUGAGCUUGUAGCUCACCCCAAAACAUAUUUUUCCCCCCUCCACAGGGCACAAGGCAAAGGAAGCGCGUGUGAUAAGUUAUUAGAGUGUCUGAAGGGUUAUCUCAUGUAUAAUUUGAAUUCGAUUCACUUGAUGAGUAAUUGAUGUAAUAUUUGAGACUGAUAUUGUAAUUGUAAUUGAUUUGAGAACUGAGGACUUUUGUCUUAUUCGGGGAAUUGUACCACUACUUGAGAUUUGUAAUGUAUGUAAGUUUACGUUCUAAGCUUGGGAAAUGUUAUUUCGUCUCUUAUUAAGGUUGUACCCUAUGUUAUUGGAUGUGAGUGAUGUAAUUUAUUUGAGGACUGUAGUGAGUCCCGGCGAGAGUUGGGCAGGCGGUCCGCAGAACCCUUUGGUUCGCCUUAGGGGGAGGUGGGGCUGUCACACUAGGGGGAGGUGGGGUCGUCACAAGGUGCGUGCUUUAUCGCAUCGAUCGAAGUGGGCCCUAAAACCCAUCACAAGUCAACCUAUUUGAGCCAGCAACGGGCUUGGUCGAGUUGGUUGGCGGUCUUGGAUGCCGUAGCUUGGUUGACCCAUGAGAGAGUUGUGGGCUUCCAGGUGUGUGAAAUCGUGGUAUACUCGAGUAUUAUCUCGUAACCAGUAAUAACUGAAUUGCAUAUUGAAAUGAAUAUAGAUUGAAGGAGACUGUUUAUUAUUUUGAAGAAUAUAAUGGGUGAUUGGUGGAGUGUGCAAUGAUAUCGAAUUGGCUCCCAUAGUGAGCUCGUAUCCUUUUAUUGAAAUGUGCUAUUUUACUUCAAAGUCUUUUAUUAAAAUGUACUAUUGAAAUGUGCUCGUAUACUUUGGUUGGCAAACACUUGUUAAUUUUACUAUUGCUUGCUUGGAACCUCACUGGGCGUAAGCUCUACCAUUUAGUUUUUUUUUCCUUAUAGGAUAUGAGAGCGAAAGAAGUCAAGAUAGUGAUUUAGCUUGAAAGGUCCCUAUUUUGUAUUUGUUGUAGACAAACUUGUACUAUGAGAAUUAGUGGAAAAAUGCUUACUUUAAUCCUGUUGGUUUGUAUAUAAGUGUGAAUGUCAUGGCCCAAUUGAUGGAGUAAAUGUUACUUUGGGAGGGUAGUGAGUCCUAGUGAGAGCCAGAUAGGCAGUCCACUAAACCCUAAGGUAUGUCUUAGGGUGAGAAGGGGCCAUCACAUUUUAUACCAUUUGGGAGGAUAUGUAAUUCUUUUUUUGGUGAUCACAAUAUGGAAACUCAACACAUUCAUUGGGUAACUUAGGAGAAGCUUUGUUAUCUCAUGGAGGAAAGUCGUUUGGGAUUUCGAGGGUUUGAAGAUGUUGGAAAGGCUUUUGCAUGGGAAUUGUGGUGGCGGUUAAUAAUGAAUAAUUUUAUCUAGACUUUGUUUGUUCGUGAAAAAUAUAUAAAGGUCAGCAUUCAUCUUUGGUUACACUGGAGGGGCCUUCAGCUCUAUAGAGAUGGUCAAUUAUGAACAUCUUAUUCCAAACAUCUUUUUUCGCUAGUUCAGAUGUUGUAAUAUAUUCGGUUUCAGUUGUAGAAUAUAUCAUAGUUUCUUGUUUAUAAUUGCUCCAAGUUAUCACACUAUGAUUAGAGUAAAUAUAAAACUUGAUUGAGACAAGCAAUCAUCUUUGUCAGAUUGAAAGCUAGUAGUAUACCUUGAAAUUGCAAAUCAUGUUUUCCAUAAACCAACAAUAUAUCUCUAAUUCUUUUCAAGUACUUAAGAAUAUCUAUGACUAGAAAAACAUCUUAAAAAUACAUUAAAAAUUUUUAAAAAGAACAAAAAAUAUCCCAAAAAUUUCUAAAAACAUCCGAAAAAAUUUAAAAAAAACUCACUAAAAAAAUUCUAAAUGCUUUUAUUUACAUUGAAGUUUUCUAAAACACUAAAAAAGAUAGCCAAUCCAAACACACCUGUUGACAAAAACUAAUCUCCAUGAAUCUUAGCGUCAAAUUUGACUAAUUAUAUGUAAAUAGAGGGCUUUUAAGGACUCUUGUGGUCUUGUGUUCGAAUCUUACCCUAAACUUGAACCCCCGUGACUCCCCGAGGUUGCUGCGUGGAGCCGUGGCACACUCCUCUGGUUUAGUGUCCCGACUCGGGUCCUAAGGGUUCAAGUCGGGGCAUGUUCCGGGUUACCCAAAAAAAAAAACUAACUGUUGACAUCAAUAGCGAACUCACCAACAUGAGUACUUAUAUAUUCAGCCACAUUAAAAAAUUUUUUGGAAUUGAGGAAACCACCUAUAAAAAUGCUAAGUUAAGGUCCUUAAUCCUUUCGGUAUUCCUUUAACAGACUUCCUUUUGAAUUCAAAGUAUACCAAAAAAAAAAAUGUUUCUAUAGUUUCCUUUAUGGAAUCAAAUUGUUUCCAAGGCUUAUAAAGAAGAGCCCAACUAUUCUUCUUCAAAAAACAUUACUCUAUUUUAGACAACAAAAAUAAAAGGGUAAAAAAUAAAAAAGCCCCCUGUGGUAAACCUAAUACACAGAAAAGCCCCCCGUGGUUUCAAAAUAUACAACACGACUCCUCAUACUUUGAACUAAAUUGUAAAGGUGACGGAAUUCGUUAAACUAAACGGAAAUGGUCAAAAUGACCAAAAUACCCUGAUAUAAUUAAGCAAAAGACAGCUCAAAAAAAUCAUUUGUUUUAUUUUCUAAAUAGAGAGAAUUGAGGGUUAAGGGGUAGAAUUGGUAUAUUUGAUAAAAAAUAGGUAUAAAAAAUUUUUUUUAGGUUCCAAUAAGUCAUUUCCGUUAAGUUUAACGGAUUCCGUCACUUUUACAAUUUAGUUCAAAGCAUGAGAUGUCGUAUUGUAUAUUUUGAAACUAUAUGGGGCUUUUCUGUGUAUUAGGCUUACCACAGGGGGCUUUUUUAUUUUUAACCCAAAAUAAAAACCUUUAUUCGGCUUCUUGCUGCAAAUUCCAUUCUUUCGAUUCUUUCUUCAGUAUGGGUUCUAAGCAUUGGUUUGCAUCUUUCUCUACCCUAAUUCUCAUAGCUAUAUUGAUCUAUAAUGCUGGAAUUGUUAGUUGUCAAAUUAAGGACUCUCAGAAUUUUUGAUUUAUGUUGCAACCGGACCUGAGAGUAUUGUCUUUGAUCGGUAUGGUGGUGGCCCGUAUACGAGCAUUUCUGAUGGUGGCAUAAUAAAGUGGGAUGCAAUUCUGAAUCGUUAGGUCGAUUUUGCUGUAACAACUCCAUACACAAUUGGCUGUCAAGGUCCAUUUAAUCAUGUUUACACAGAGGCAAGAUGUGGGCGGCCACUAGGACUUAGUUUCAACCAGAAGACUGGUGAUCUUUAAAUUGCUUAUGCCUAUAUGGGUCUCCUGGCUAUUGCUCCUAAUGGUAGAUUAGCUAGACCACUGGCAAAGCAAGCAGGAGGAAUUCCAUUCAGGUUCACCAAUGAUGUGGUUGUAGAUCAGUACAGUGGUAUAGUAUAUUUUACUGACACUAGCACAAGAUUUCCAAGAAGUGCAUUUGCUUAUGUGAUAUCGAGUGGUGACAAUACAGGAAGGCUAUUGAAAUAUGACCCAUCGAUUCAUCAAGUAACGGUCCUUCUGGAUCAUCUUAUGUUUCCAAACGGAGUAGCACUGAGCCAAAAUGGGGAUUUCUUGCUUGUUACUGAAACCACAAGCAGUAGAGUGUUGAGGUAUUGGCUUGAGCCAUCCAGGGCUAGCAAGGUUGAUGUUUUCACACAACUUCCAGGAAGGCCAGACAACUUCAAAAGAAACCAACAAGGUGAAUUUUGGGUGGCAACUGACUCAAGAGAUGGGAUUUUUAAUCCACUUGGAAUGAUAAUUAAAUUGAGUCCGGAAAGUGACAUAUUGAAGAUAAAAGGAGCUGGAAAUGGGAUGACAUGGGGGUUUAGUAGUGAUGUAAAUGAACAUAAUGGAAAUUUGUGGAUAGGAUCAGUACAAGAGCCUCAUGUUGUUAGACUAACACUCUCUAACUAGUGUAAUAUCGCUUAGAAAAAUUAGCAUUAGCUAUUAAAAUUUUGUCUCUCUUUUAGUGGCAUUUCUAAUGUUUUGGACAAGAUCAGUAUCGAUAAUAUGAAUUUCCCUGUAGUUUGUUUCAAAAAAAAAAAGAUUAAUUGGCACAACAUUGCCAACAAUUGUUCUUUUCUUUUUUUUUCAGGAGGAUUGUAGGUCAAAACAAAUCUAAUCUUCAACGUUUGUGGAUUUAGGCAAAUUUAGGAUAAUUAAUGGAAAUGAACCAAUGACUAAUGGUGAACGACAAAUUACCAUUGGUCAUAGUCAACGACUUUGACUUUGCCCUUAUGGUCCCUAAUAUUUUGAUUCUAAAUUAUUAUAUUUCUCUAAUUUUUUAACAGUAAUAUUAAAAGUUUUAGCAUGAAUUGAGAUGCAAAUUAGAAUGAAAUAGUAUUAAAUGAGUAAUAAGAAUUCUAAUUAAAAUUUUUUUCUUAAUUUUAUUUUUAUUUCAUUUUAUUCAUACUGAUAAUAUAUCAUGUUUCUUUUCUUUUGCAUAGUUAGUCUCUUUUUUUUUUUGGGCUAACCCCGUUCACAAGAAGGGACGCCACCCCCAAAUGCUAUUAAGAACGGAAAAAGUAAUAACGGAGAGGGACUUAAAACCAACCUGAGCAUGAAAGCAAUACUCAUGGCUAUAGACUAAAUUUUCGACGAAUAGAGGAAGUUCCUAAUCUAUCCAACGUAACUGCACCCUGAACUAACCUUGGUAACUCUGAGCAUGAAUUAUAGAUAGCGAUUGAGGAUGAUUGUGCCCCAACCUUCGACAAAACAUCCGCAACCUGAUUAGCUUUCCUAUAGCAAUGAGCUACCGUCCCAAAACAACCUCUUUUCUCCUUUAGAGAUUCUAUAUCCGACCUAACAAACCAAUGACAAUCACAUCUACCUUGGAGGAUAUAAACUAGAACAAGCGAAUCAAUCUCCACCUGAAUAGGAGAGUAGCCUGUUGAAGACACUGCUCCAUCCCAAAAAGAAGAGCUUUCACCUCAGCUUGAAAACUUGUAAGCAAAUCCAAUGGAAUAGAGAAAGCAAAAAGUAAGCCACCCUGUGAAUCUCUCAAAACAGCCCCACCACCACUUGCACCCAAAUUUCCCAAGGAACAACCAUCCGUAUUUAACUCAUAAUGCCCCUGCAAAGGCUUCUCCCAAACCACUAAUCUAUAGGAAUAACGAGCUUUCCAACCAGCAGCAUUGGAGUAAAGAGUCUCCCAUGAAACACAACCCACUACCUCAUGCCAAAAUUUUCCAAACACCAUGUCUACCAAAUCCAGUAAGAUACUUGUGAUGGCCCCACCUCCCCCUAGGGCGUACCUUAGGGUUUAGUGAACUGUCUGCCCAACUCUCGCCAGGACUCAAUCACGCUUAACUCGAGAAAGAACUUACAACCAUAGAAAAGAAAUAAAACAACGAUUUCAAACUUAGCAUAUACAUUGAUACUCAAAUCCAACUACAAGUCUCAUACUUGCCCAAAUACAUUAAAAUGUUUACAAUCCAAGUACAAUCAACCCCUAGUCGGGUGCUGGCGCGAGAACAAUUGCAAAUUUCAAAAAAAACUAGACCACACUAGUUUGUACAAGUGUCACGCCUCGCUCGUACCCCUGUAAGGAAAACAAAUGGAGUGAAAUGAGCUAAAAGUCCAGUGAAGUUCCAAAUAGCAAGUUGACCAUUAUUUAAGUACAAGUAUCAACGUAGAAAAAAUAGCCAGCAUAACAAGUUCAUAAAAGUGAACAAUAACACUCCAAGUAGCAAAUCUCAAAAUGAACGAGUGUAAAGUGUUUUUGUUUUUCAAAAGAAACAAUAAUCCAAUAAGCAAUACUCAUUUCAAAGUAUAAGGAUACGGAUGGCUCUCAGGAGCCAAGUUCCCUUUGCUUCACCAGAGCUUGAUCAAAUAGUAGUUGACACUCUGUCAACUUUCAAGCAAAGUAACCAGUCCAGUAGAACACCACUUCGCUACAAUCUCCGUCCACCAUCCAAUCUCGCGAGAACAAUUGCAAAUUUCAAAAAAAACUAGACCACACUAGUUUGUACAAGUGUCACGCCUCGCUCGUACCCCUGUAAGGAAAACAAAUGGAGUGGAAUGAGCUAAAAGUCCAGUGAAGUUCCAAAUAGCAAGUUGACCAUUAUUUAAGUACAAGUAUCAACGUAGAAAAAAUAGCCAGCAUAACAAGUUCAUAAAAGUGAACAAUAACACUCCAAGUAGCAAAUCUCAAAAUGAACGAGUGUAAAGUGUUUUUGUUUUUCAAAAGAAACAAUAAUCCAAUAAGCAAUACUCAUUUCAAAGUAUAAGGAUACGGAUGGCUCUCAGGAGCCAAGUUCCCUUUGCUUCACCAGAGCUUGAUCAAAUAGUAGUUGACACUCUGUCAACUUUCAAGCAAAGUAACCAGUCCAGUAGAACACCACUUCGCUACAAUCUCCGUCCACCAUCCAAACCCUCGACUGGGCCCAAAAUUCUCAAUAAACACUGGUGGUAAUACUCGAGUAUACCGAUUAGUCGAGGAGAUAACACUCCACUCGACAACACUAGAUACCCAUGGUUCGUUAUCUAAUCGACCAAGCCCUAGCCGACUCGACUCAAUUAACUAGUCAGUGGGGUUUGGGUUCCCAAGAAUUCGAUGAGAUAACAUCUCCAAUCGGCCGAAUCAAGAUAAAAGUACGGAGACGGGAAUGAGAGGCACCUCCCACUCAGAUUGAGUGUGGUACAUGCUGCCGCUCCAGCACUUACAAAUCAAGCACAAGUAUAUCAAGUCAAUUGCACCAAUAAACACGUACAUAUCACAUUAGGGCAAGUGCGAUAAAGUACACCCUUACCCGACCAUACCAAUCAAAUAUCAUUCGAUCACAUUAGUCAAGUAAUGAAAACAAGUGCCAAAUUCAAUCAGGUAUUUGGAAGCACUCACCAAAGAUUUAGUGCUUCUUCGAUUCACGUUCAGCUAUUACUCCUUGUGUGGAGUUCAAAUGUAACAGCCCCACUUUUCCCUAAGGCGAACCAAAGGGGUUAGCGGACUGCCUGCCCAGCUCUCGCCAGGACUACGGAUCAGUUCACGUCGAUCUAAUACGUUCCGGAACAUACCCACGCGCGUAAACAAGUCAAAAUCACAAAAUAAAAAAAACGAAAAUCGAAGCCGAUGAUGAACAGUACCGGCCACGUCAGAAUCCAGAUACUAGGUCGAGAGUAGCCAAAAUUUUUCUUUUGCCGUUUGAAAUACGAGUUGAUCCGAAAUUCAACCAAAUAUCAACCAAACAUACAUACAUUGAAAUGUAACAUUUACAUGCCAAAGCGGCAUAUCAAAACCCAUUCAUUACGAAUAUACAUGUUCGGUUUGCCAAUCAAAAGAAAGUGAACCCAAUACACAUUAGGGUUUCAUUCAAAGAGCUAUCCAAAAGAUACAUUUACAUGAGCUCAACUUGACAACCAACAAGUAUAACCUUUCCAAAAGUGGUCAUUUUCCUGUAAGGAAAACAAAUGGAAUGGAAUGAGCUUAAGCCCAGUGAGUUACUACCACAUAAGCAACAAAGAUCACAUAAGCAUAAUCUUUCAUUUCAAGUACACAAUUAAGAAGUAAAACAAGUCGGUAAAAGGAUACGGACGGCUCUCAAGAGCCCAUUUCCACGCUUACAUUCUUGAUCCAAUCUCAUUGACUCCCCGUCAACGUUUAUGAGUACCAACCGUAGAACCCACUUCACUCCCAUCCCUUCCACCAAACAUACCCCAACCGGGCCCGCACUCCAAUCAGUAGCUUUUGGUAAUACUCGAGUUUACCGGAAUCAAGAGUCUCAUUACUACAAUAUUCCCCAGUACAAUCCCCGUGGCAUGUCAAUUUUCACGACCAAGCCCCCGCCGGCUCGAUUCAAUUGACUACCAACGGGGUUGAGCUCAGUAGUACAGUAAGGCCGUUGGAUACUCGUCCAAACGACACCAAAUCAGUUUUUCAUGAAGUGAAUUCAAUAUCUCAUAUAGCAAGUGCAGUAUAUCAGUGAAGCGGUAAACAGUCAUUAACGUAUCACAAGGGGUGAGGGCGGUCAAGUACACCCUCGCCUCAAUCAAUUCCAAUAGCCAAAUAAGCCUUCAAGGCAUCAAAAUCACAUAUAGCAAAGCCACAUUGUAACAUUCAAGUGAGUAGUAUACUCACAACUCAAAUAGGUGAUGUUUCAUGCACCGUCGUUAAAAGGACGUCGUGAACCCCCGUCACGUCCUAAAACACGUAAACAAAUACAAUGAGACUCGAUAACGAGUCAUAAAGCCAUGCCAAUCACAACCCCAAUAGGGUUUCAUAAACAUAGACAAGUAGCAUAGGUAACCAGAAAUUUCAGCAAUGUAACUAACUUGACCUUGACAAAACAGUUUUCGUCCUAAUUUUGCGGUAAUGGCACAAAUUGCGCUACGCUUAUCGGAUGAGGGUGCAAGACCCACCAUCUCAAAGCUAAAAGACAGGGUUACAACAAUGUAGAAGGCCACUCAGUCCAAAUCCUAGCACAACUAGGUCAAAUAUGCAAAAUACCAAACCAGAACCUUAAUUGCAGGUUUACAAAUUACACUAUGCUGUAAUUAGUCCAACUCAGUCUAUACAAGUCCAAAUUCAUUGAUUCCAAAGGCAUAUGGUAGCUAAGACAACAAGCUACAUUUCAUCAAAAGACCUCAACAACCAAAUCUAAAGCAAUUCCAGUCAAAAUAGCCAAUUACAGGCGCAGUUCGGCCAUCCUGAAGAACCCAGAACAGCAACAGUAAAAUCGACUUUUCUCACUCUACACAACUCCGAUGAACUUGAAAUUUUACAGGCACCUCAAACACAUCAAUACCUACAAUUUCCAUGUUUUAAGCUAAGGCCAAUUCGGCCUCUAACCAUGAGAUACAAAACCAGACAGAAUUGGGGAUAUAAAACCCUAAUUUUCUCAAAUUCCUUCAAAACCCAAAAUUGCUUGCAAUUACCAAUCAUGUACACCUACUAGAGUCAUUACCCUUCAUUACCAACCAUCAUAGAUAACCACAACAUCAUGAUCACAUUAAACCAGAAAAUACACCAUUAAAUUGAAAACUUCAUCAUUUCAUCCAAAAGCAAGAAAUAAAUCACAAAUGUCAUCACUUGAGCUUCCAAUAAGCACAACUCAAGCUUCAUUAAGUGUAGGAGGAAGUUCAAAUACCACUUACCUAGAACACAAGAGAGGGAGAGUUGUAGGACACCUUAGCUUCCUUGAACACUUCCACAAAAUCACUUACUAGCACCAAAUGGAGGGAUUUUAUGGAGUAGAAACAAAUUUAAGCAAUUGGUUUGGAUGAUUUGCACUAGAUGGAAGCUUGAAAAUUGGAGAAGUUUCCUUUCUUUUCCUAGAGAGAGAGCCGGCCAAGAAGUUGAAGACAAGAAUGAAUUUUGUGUGAUUUUUGAGAUAUUUAAGCAAUUGGUCAAAAGUCAAGAAAAUGAAUAGUUGUCCUACAAGUGCCACCAUUCACCAAGUGACACUUGUCACUACAUUUAAAGCAUUUCUAUCCUUUAAGUCUCUCUCACAUCAAUCACAUCUCAUCCUCUACUUAUCUCUUAACACCCGAUAAAUUUCACUCAGUAUCCGAAACUCAACCUACUUGGCCGAAUUUUUCCGAACUUUUCGCACUAGUGGGUCCCACGUCCAUUAUAUAUCCUUAAUUUUUCAAAAACUAUCUAAUACUAGAAAAAUCAUUUAAAAACUAUAAUUACUCAUAAAAUCCACCAAGAAAAUUUUCCUAAGCCAGAAAAUGCAGAAAACGUGCCAUUAAAGGAAAUAAACCCUAGGAAAAUUAUUAAGAGGAAUUUACGGGUUCUCACACUCUCUCCCCCUUAAAAGAAUUUCGUCCUCGAAAUUCCUUAUCAUUGACUACUCCGGGAUUAAAUUGAGCAUUAUACUUAGCUAACAGAUCUGUACCCCUUCACUGGCCAGGUUCAGCAAAUUAUUACCUUCCACGUCCUCUAAUGGGUCAAAGACUUGAUGUUGUUCUAAGGAGUACACCCGAGAGGACACUUUCGAUCCAUCCUUGUCCCCCUUCGACUGGUCAGGGUGGGUCGUGGUUGGUGGCAGAGUCCCUUUCCGCUCAAGCAGGCGAGCUGGACAGUUCGCAAUCUGAUGUUCGGCACUUCCACAGCGCAAGCAUUUUCCUCCUUUCUUCCAACAAUUGUCCUCCGAGUGGUUUAAUUUUCCGCAAUACCCGCAGGGUCCGCGUGCUACAGAAGCCGAGCCUCCUCUUGACGGGCUCUCUUGUGACACUCCCGGCAUCCUUACUCCUCCCGUUCCCCGCCCAAACUUGGGAGGGGUACUUUCAUCCCCCUGCCCCGAACUACUUCCAGAAAAUCCUCUCUUUUUCGCCUGGAAGUUUUUCACCUGGAGCCUAGCAUUCUCUACUCGUUGUGCCUUCUCCACUGCUUCGCUGAAGGCGUUAAUUUGGGCUGCCGCGAGGUCCUUCUGGAUUUCUACGUUCAGGCCCUGGACAAAUCGCCGUAUUCUUCGUUGCUCGGUCAUGAUGAGUUCGGGCGCAAAUUUGGAUAGGCGGGUGAAUUGGCUCUCAUAUUCCGCCACAGUUUAAGCUCCUUGGCGAAGUCGAAUGAACUCGUCUUCCUUCCUCUCCUGAACUAGAGGAGGGAAAAACUUCGCAUUAAACUCUCUGAUGAAGUUCACCCAAGUCCUAGGUGUCUGUUCUCGUUCCCACUUCUGCCGAAUUACGUUCCGCCAGGAACGGGCUGCCCCCUCAAGCUGGAACACGGCAAAAGUCACCUGCCGUUCGUCAGGGUAGUGUAGGGCUGCAAAUAUAUCCACCAUCUUUUCAAGCCAUCUUUCGGCAACGUCUGGGUCGGGUCCCCCAACAAACUUUGGCGGAGCGAACUUUUGAAAUCGUUCGAGAGCUCUGUCUUCGCUCUCGAUAUGGUUACCAGGGUUUCCAGGGUUUGGGUUUGGGUUUUGGCCUUGUUGUUGCACUACUUGUGCUAGUAAGUUUGUCAUUUGUUGCAUAGCAGCAGCUAUUUGCACAUUAGGGUUUACUUGCAGUUCCAGAUUGGGUCCAGUAGAGGUUUCCCCCGUACCCCUAACCGGUGUGGGUUGUCUAGUUCCGCGCCCACGUCCCCGACCACUCCGUGUACCUUCCAUGAGUUUUACUUGGUCUAGGCAAUAAUAAUACUAAACCAAAAUAAGCACGAUGCAUGUAAGUAACACUCAAAACUUUUAUGCAACACAUAUUUAUACAGUCCAAACAUGAGCACAAACGUAUAUAUACAAGCCAAGCAAGAUCAAGCCACACACAUAUAUACAGCCAGUUAAGUCAAGUAAAAACAUAGACGAUCCACCGAGGAAUGGCCUUUCUAGUUCACCAAAUCCUUUCUAACCUAGGCCCUCAUUCUUUCGUAUCCGGGCGCAAGAAUCCCAUCUAAGAUAAUUCACAACUCGAGCCGGCCGGUCCCAAGAGUAAACCAUCUUUAUUAAAGAUUUCUACCCGACAUACAUACCUAGCUUCCUCGAGUCCCAUGAUAAUGAUUCGCACACUUAUCACAUGCCCGGUUCAUAACUUAUGCUCAAACGAGCACUUAGACAUAUUCAUGAAAUUAGGACCACAACACCACUUGGCCCAGUCUCACUCCGCGCAGAGACCACGCGAAGUGGCUCUGAUACCUCUUGUAACAGCCCCACUUUCCCCUAAGGCGAACCAAAGGGGUUAGCGGACUGCCUGCCCAGCUCUCGCCAGGACUACGGAUCAGUUCACGUCGAUCUAAUACGUUCCGGAACAUACCCACGCGCGUAAACAAGUCAAAAUCACAAAAUAAAAAAAACGAAAAUCGAAGCCGAUGAUGAACAGUACCGGCCACGUCAGAAUCCAGAUACUAGGCCGAGAGUAGCCAAAAUUUUUCUUUUGCGUUUGAAAAUAAUCGAGUUGAUCGCCCGAAAUUCAACCAAAUAUCAACCAAACAUACAUAAUUGAAUGUAAGCAUUUACAUGCACGGCAUAUCAAAAACAUUCAUUAGCGGAUAUACAUGUUGAUUUGCCAAUCAAAAGAAAGUGAACCAAUACACAUUAGGGUUCCAUUCAAAGAGCCUAUCCAAAAGGAUACAUUUACAAUGAGCUCAAACUUGAGCAACCACAAGUAGUACCUUUUACAAAAGUGUCAUUUGCCUGUAAGGAAAACAAAUGGAACGGAAUGAGCUUAAGCCCAGUGAGUUACUACCACAUAAGCAACAAAGAUCACAUAAGCAUAAUCUUUCAUUUCAAGUACACAAUUAAGAAGUAAAACAAGUCGGUAAAAGGAUACGGACGGCUCUCAAGAGCCCAUUUCCACGCUUACAUUCUUGAUCCAAUCUCAUUGACUCUCCGUCAAGGUUUAUGAGUACCAACCGUAGAACCCACUUCACUCCCAUCCCUUCCACCAAACAUACCCCAACCGGGCCCGCACUCCAAUCAGUAGAUUUUGGUAAUACUCGAGUUUACCGGAAUCAAGAGUCUCAUUACUACAAGAUUCCCCAGUACAGUCCCCGUGGCAUGUCAAUUUUCACGACCAAGCCCCCGCCGGCUCGAUUUGUGAGAACCCGUAAAACCCUAAUUAUUUUCCUAGGGUUUAUUUCCCCUUAAUUGCAUGUUUUCUGCAUUUUCUGGCUUAGAAAUAUUUUCUUAGUGGAUUUUAUGAGCAGUUAUAGUUUUAAGAUGAUUUUUCUAGUAUUGGUGAAUUUUUAGAAAAUUAAGAAUCUAUAUUGGACGUGGGACCCACGAGUGCGAAAAGUUCGGGAAAAUUCGGCCAAUACGGUUAAGUUUCGGAUACUGUGGAAAAGUUAUCGGAUGUUACGAGAUAAGUAGAGAGUGAGAUUUGAUUGAUGUGAGAGAGAAAAGAAAGAUAAGAAUGCAUUUAUGGAGGUGCCAUGUGUCACCUCCUCAUUUGAUGAACUUUAAGAAGAACUAUUCACUUUCUUGACUUUUUUGACCAAAGGAUUAUAUAUCAAAAAAAAAUGCACAAAAAUCACCAUUUUUCUUCUCUUGUUGGCCGGCCACCUUGAGCAAGGAAGGAAGAAACUUUCUUCACCAUUCAAGCUUCUACUUGUUGCAAAUCAACCAAAAACAUUGGUUACAUCCAAUUCCAUUCCAUACAAUCUUACCUUCUAGUGCUAGUAAGUUGUUUAUUGAAGCUUGGUUGAAGGUUUAAGGUGUUCGACAACCUCUUCUCUCUUGUUUCUUGGUAAGUGAAGCUUGAACACCCUCUUACACCCUAUGAAGCUUAAAUUAUGCUUAGUAGUGCUUGAAGUGCUGAAAUUUCUGGUUUUAUCUUGGUUUGAAGUGAUUUGGUGAAGUUUUUCAUUUUAUUGAUGAUUUUUCUGGUUUAAUAUGAUCUUGAUGUUGGGUGCUUGUAUGAUGGAUUGUAAUGGUUGGAAAUGACUCUAGUGAGUGUGAAUUAUAGUUAAAUGCAAUCAAUUUUGGUUUUGGUGUGAAAAAUGGAAAGUUAGGGUUCAUAAAAUCCCAAUUCUGUCCGGUUUUGAUCAUAGGGUUAGAGGCCGAAUUUGACUUUUCUCAAAACAUGAAAGUUGUAGGUAUUGGUGAGUUUGAUGUGCCUACAAAAUUUCAGGUUAUUUAGAUUAGUGUGGAGUGAGAUAUGACGAAAUUACUGUAGCUGUUCUGCUUUGGACAGAAUGCGAAAACUGCGAUAGUAAUUGGCUAUUUUGACUGGAAUUGGUUUGGAUUUUGGAGUUGGUGUCUUCUGAUGAAAUGUAGCUGGAUGACUUAGCUAACUUAUGCCUUUGGGAUUUCGGCAUUUGGACUUGUAUGGACUGAGAUAUACCGAUUACAGUUUUCUGUGUUUUGCAAACCUGUUUUGGUAAUUCUGGUAUAGUAUUUGGCAUUUUCGACCUAGUUAAGCUAGGAACUGGAUUGAGUGACCUUCUACAUUGUUGUAGCCCUGUUUCAUAGCUUCGAAACGGUGGGUCUUACACCCCCAUCCGAUAACCGUAGAGAAUUUGACGCCAUUACCGCAUAAUGAGUGUAAAACAGUUUUCUAUUUGGGGCCAAGACUAAGGCCAUUUUCUAAUUUCUGGUUUGCUAUUAUGCUCAUUUAUGCAUAUGAAACCCUAUUGGGGUUGUGUUUAGCAUUGCUAUAUGACUCGUUAUCGAGUCUCAUUGCAUUUGUUGCGUGAUUUUAGGGCGUGACGGUGGUGCACAACGUUCUUUUGACUAAAGUGUUUGAAACCGCAUUGUGCUAGCUUGGUGAGUGUACUACUCACUUAUGUGCUAUUACAUGGCUUUGAUCUUUGUACUUGAGAUGUUGAAUGUUGAUUGAUCCAGGUGAGAGUGUACUUUAUCACUUUCACAUAUUGUUCCGCAUGUUAUUGGAAAGUUAUAUGAAAUGUUAUAUGAAAUGAAAUACAUGACUUCAAAUAUUAUCCAUGAGCUCAACCCCAUUGGUUAUUGAUUGAAUCGAGCCGGCGAGGGCUUGGUCGUGCCAAUUAAUGUGCCUUGGGGCAACAUCAUAGGGAAUCUUGUAGUAUGAGAGACUCUUGAUUCCGGUUUACUCGAGUAAUACCACAAUGCAAGUGUUUGAAUUUCGGGCCCGGUUGAGGAAUGUUAGGAGGAAGGGAAUGGAAGUUAAGAGGAGUCUACGGUUGGUUACCUUUCAGACAUUGACGGAGAGUCAAUGAGACCUGAUCAAGAAUUCAAACGCGGAAAAGGGCUCUUGAGAGCCACCCGUAUCCUUUUAUCCUCAUUAUUAAUGUGUGGCUUUAUUUAUUUUGGUAAAUUGGACUGUUAAGCGUGAUGUAUCCAUGAACUUGGUUGCUUGAGUUGUAUUCUCACUGGGCAAUUAGCUCACCCCGUUCCUUUUGUUUUCCUUACAGGAAUAUGACUCUUUUGGAAUGAAUUUUUGAUAAAUGGUUGCCGAAUGAACUAGAUGAAUGACUCUUUUGUAUUGUAUAUAAAAUGGGACCCUAAAUGUAUCAUUAGGGCCGUUUUCACUUUUGUUUUGGCAAACCAUAUGUGUAGCGACUUUUGUAUCACUUUAAAUGUCAUUUUUGGUUUGUAAAGGCUAAAUGAGAGUCUCAUUACUACAAGAUUCCCCAGUACAGUCCCCGUGGCAUGUCAAUUUUCACGACCAAGCCCCCGCCGGCUCGAUUCAAUUGACUACCAACGGGGUUGAGCUCAGUAGUACAGUAAGGCCGUUGGAUACUCGUCCAAACGACACCAAAUCAGUUUUACAUGAAGUGAAUUCAAUAUCUCAUAUAGCAAGUGCAGUAUAUCAGUGAAGCGGUAAACAGUCAUUAACGGUAUCACAAGGGGUGAGGGCGGUCAAGUACACCCUCACCUCAAUCAAUUCCAAUAGCCAAAUAAGCCUUCAAGGCAUCAAAAUCACAUAUAGCAAAGCCACAUUGUAACAUUCAAGUGAGUAGUAUCCUCACCAAUCAAGUAAGUGUUGUUUCAUGCACCGUCGUUAAAAGGACGUCGUGAACCCCCGCCACGUCCUAAAACAUACAAACAAAUACAAUGAGACUCGAUAACGAGUCAUAAAUCCAUGCCAAUCACAACCCCAAUAGGGUUUCAUAUGCAUAUAUAAGCAUUAUAGCAAACCAGAAAAUCAGGAAAUGUAACUAACUUGGCCCUAACAACAAAAACAGUUUUGUCCUCAUUAUGCGGUAAUGGCACAAAUUGCGCUACGCUUAUCGGAUGAGGGUGCAAGACCCACCAUCUCGAAGCUAAAAGACAGGGCUACGACAAUGUAGAAGGCCACUCAGUCCAAAUCCUAGCACAACUAGGUCAAAUAUGCAAAAUACCAAACCAGAACCUUAAUUGCAGGUUUACAAAUUGCACUAUACUGUAAUUAGUCCAACUCAGUCUAUACAGGUCCGAAUGCAGAAAUUCCAAAGGAAUAUGAUAGCUAGGACAUCAAGCUACAUUUCAUCAGAAGACCUGAACAACCAAAUCCAAAGCAAUUCCAGUCAAAACAGCCGAUUACAGGCGCAGUUCGGCCAUCCUGAUGAACCCAGAACAGCAAUAGUAAAUUCGACAUUUCUCACUCUACACUACUCCAAAUAACCUGAAAUUUUACAGGCACCUCAAACACAUCAAUACCUACAACUUUCAUGUUUUAACCCAAGGCCAAUUCGGCCUCUAACCAUGAGAUACAAAACCGGACAGAAUUGGGGAUAUAAAACCCUAACUUUCUCAAAUUCCUUCCAAAACCAAAAUUGCUUGCAAUUACCAAUCAUGUACACCUACUAGAGUCAUUACCCUUCAUUACCAACCAUCAUAGAUAACCACAACAUCAUGAUCACAUUAAACCAGAAAAUACACCAUUAAAUUGAAAACUUCAUCAUUUCAUCCAAAAGCAAGAAAUAAAUCACAGAUGUCAUCACUUUAGCUUCCACUAAGCACAACUCAAGCUUCAUUAAGUGUAGGAGGAAGUUCAAACACCACUUACCUAGAACACAAGAGAGGGAGAGUUGUAGGACACCUUAGCUUCCUUGAACACUUCCACAAAAUCACUUACUAGCACCAAAUGGAGGGAUUUUAUGGAGUAGAAACAAAUUUAAGCAAUUGGUUUGGAUGAUUUGCACUAGAUGGAAGCUUGAAAAUUGGAGAAGUUUUCUUUCUUUUCCUAGAGAGAGAGCCGGCCAAGAAGUUGAAGACAAGAAUGAAUUUUGUGUGAUUUUUGAGAUAUUUAAGCAAUUGGUCAAAAGUCAAGAAAAUGAAUAGUUGUCCUACAAGUGCCACCAUUCACCAAGUGACACUUGUCACUACAUUUAAAGCAUUUCUAUCCUUUAAGUCUCUCUCACAUCAAUCACAUCUCAUCCUCUACUUAUCUCUUAACACCCGAUAAAUUUCACUCAGUAUCCGAAACUCAACCUACUUGGCCGAAUUUUUCCGAACUUUUCGCACUAGUGGGUCCCACGUCCAUUAUAUAUCCUUAAUUUUUCAAAAACUAUCUAAUACUAGAAAAAUCAUUUAAAAACUAUAAUUACUCAUAAAAUCCACCAAGAAAAUUUUCCUAAGCCAGAAAAUGCAGAAAACGUGCCAUUAAAGGAAAUAAACCCUAGGAAAAUUAUUAAGAGGAAUUUACGGGUUCUCACACUCUCUCCCCCUUAAAAGAAUUUCGUCCUCGAAAUUCCUUAUCAUUGACUACUCCGGGAUUAAAUUGAGCAUUAUACUUAGCUAACAGAUCUGUACCCCUUCACUGGCCAGGUUCAGCAAAUUAUUACCUUCCACGUCCUCUAAUGGGUCAAAGACUUGAUGUUGUUCUAAGGAGUACACCCGAGAGGACACUUUCGAUCCAUCCUUGUCCCCCUUCGACUGGUCAGGGUGGGUCGUGGUUGGUGGCAGAGUCCCUUUCCGCUCAAGCAGGCGAGCUGGACAGUUCGCAAUCUGAUGUUCGGCACUUCCACAGCGCAAGCAUUUUCCUCCUUUCUUCCAACAAUUGUCCUCCGAGUGGUUUAAUUUUCCGCAAUACCCGCAGGGUCCGCGUGCUACAGAAGCCGAGCCUCCUCUUGACGGGCUCUCCUGUGACACUCCCGGCAUCCUUACUCCUCCCGUUCCCCGCCCAAACUUGGGAGGGGUACUUUCAUCCCCCUGCCCCGAACUACUUCCAGGAAAUCCUCUCUUUUUCGCCUGGAAGUUUUUCACCUGGAGCCUAGCAUUCUCUACUCGUUGUGCCUUCUCCACUGCUUCGCUGAAGGCGUUAAUUUGGGCUGCCGCGAGGUCCUUCUGGAUUUCUACGUUCAGGCCCUGGACAAAUCGCCGUAUUCUUCGUUGCUCGGUCAUGAUGAGUUCGGGCGCAAAUUUGGAUAGGCGGGUGAAUUGGCUCUCAUAUUCCGCCACAGUUUAAGCUCCUUGGCGGAGUCGAAUGAACUCGUCUUCCUUCCUCUCCUGAACUAGAGGAGGGAAAAACUUCGCAUUAAACUCUCUGAUGAAGUUCACCCAAGUCCUAGGUGUCUGUUCUCGUUCCCACUUCUGCCGAAUUACGUUCCGCCAGGAACGGGCUGCCCCCUCAAGCUGGAACACGGCAAAAGUCACCUGCCGUUCGUCAGGGUAGUGUAGGGCUGCAAAUAUAUCCACCAUCUUUUCAAGCCAUCUUUCGGCAACGUCUGGGUCGGGUCCCCCAACAAACUUUGGCGGAGCGAACUUUUGAAAUCGUUCGAGAGCUCUGUCUUCGCUCUCGAUAUGGUUACCAGGGUUUCCAGGGUUUGGGUUUGGGUUUUGGCCUUGUUGUUGCACUACUUGUGCUAGUAAGUUUGUCAUUUGUUGCAUAGCAGCAGCUAUUUGCACAUUAGGGUUUACUUGCAGUUCCAGAUUGGGUCCAGUAGAGGUUUCCCCCGUACCCCUAACCGGUGUGGGUUGUCUAGUUCCGCGCCCACGUCCCCGACCACUCCGUGUACCUUCCAUGAGUUUUACUUGGUCUAGGCAAUAAUAAUACUAAACCAAAAUAAGCACGAUGCAUGUAAGUAACACUCAAAACUUUUAUGCAACACAUAUUUAUACAGUCCAAACAUGAGCACAAACGUAUAUAUACAAGCCAAGCAAGAUCAAGCCACACACAUAUAUACAGCCAGUUAAGUCAAGUAAAAACAUAGACGAUCCACCGAGGAAUGGCCUUUCUAGUUCACCAAAUCCUUUCUAACCUAGGCCCUCAUUCUUUCGUAUCCGGGCGCAAGAAUCCCAUCUAAGAUAAUUCACAACUCGAGCCGGCCGGUCCCAAGAGUAAACCAUCUUUAUUAAAGAUUUCUACCCGACAUACAUACCUAGCUUCCUCGAGUCCCAUGAUAAUGAUUCGCACACUUAUCACAUGCCCGGUUCAUAACUUAUGCUCAAACGAGCACUUAGACAUAUUCAUGAAAUUAGGACCACAACACCACUUGGCCCAGUCUCACUCCGCGCAGAGACCACGCGAAGUGGCUCUGAUACCUCUUGUAACAGCCCCACUUUCCCCUAAGGCGAACCAAAGGGGUUAGCGGACUGCCUGCCCAGCUCUCGCCAGGACUACGGAUCAGUUCACGUCGAUCUAAUACGUUCCGGAACAUACCCACGCGCGUAAACAAGUCAAAAUCACAAAAUAAAAAAAACGAAAAUCGAAGCCGAUGAUGAACAGUACCGGCCACGUCAGAAUCCAGAUACUAGGCCGAGAGUAGCCAAAAUUUUUCUUUUGCCGUUUGAAAUACGAGUUGAUCCGAAAUUCAACCAAAUAUCAACCAAACAUACAUACAUUGAAAUGUAACAUUUACAUGCCAAAGCGGCAUAUCAAAACCCAUUCAUUACGAAUAUACAUGUUCGGUUUGCCAAUCAAAAGAAAGUGAACCCAAUACACAUUAGGGUUUCAUUCAAAGAGCUAUCCAAAAGAUACAUUUACAUGAGCUCAACUUGACAACCAACAAGUAUAACCUUUCCAAAAGUGGUCAUUUUCCUGUAAGGAAAACAAAUGGAAUGGAAUGAGCUUAAGCCCAGUGAGUUACUACCACAUAAGCAACAAAGAUCACAUAAGCAUAAUCUUUCAUUUCAAGUACACAAUUAAGAAGUAAAACAAGUCGGUAAAAGGAUACGGACGGCUCUCAAGAGCCCAUUUCCACGCUUACAUUCUUGAUCCAAUCUCAUUGACUCUCCGUCAACGUUUAUGAGUACCAACCGUAGAACCCACUUCACUCCCAUCCCUUCCACCAAACAUACCCCAACCGGGCCCGCACUCCAAUCAGUAGCUUUUGGUAAUACUCGAGUUUACCGGAAUCAAGAGUCUCAUUACUACAAGAUUCCCCAGUACAGUCCCCGUGGCAUGUCAAUUUUCACGACCAAGCCCCCGCCGGCUCGAUUCAAUUGACUACCAACGGGGUUGAGCUCAGUAGUACAGUAAGGCCGUUGGAUACUCGUCCAAACGACACCAAAUCAGUUUUACAUGAAGUGAAUUCAAUAUCUCAUAUAGCAAGUGCAGUAUAUCAGUGAAGCGGUAAACAGUCAUUAACGGUAUCACAAGGGGUGAGGGCGGUCAAGUACACCCUCACCUCAAUCAAUUCCAAUAGCCAAAUAAGCCUUCAAGGCAUCAAAAUCACAUAUAGCAAAGCCACAUUGUAACAUUCAAGUGAGUAGUAUCCUCACCAAUCAAGUAAGUGUUGUUUCAUGCACCGUCGUUAAAAGGACGUCGUGAACCCCCGCCACGUCCUAAAACAUACAAACAAAUACAAUGAGACUCGAUAACGAGUCAUAAAUCCAUGCCAAUCACAACCCCAAUAGGGUUUCAUAUGCAUAUAUAAGCAUUAUAGCAAACCAGAAAAUCAGGAAAUGUAACUAACUUGGCCCUAACAACAAAAACAGUUUUGUCCUCAUUAUGCGGUAAUGGCACAAAUUGCGCUACGCUUAUCGGAUGAGGGUGCAAGACCCACCAUCUCGAAGCUAAAAGACAGGGCUACGACAAUGUAGAAGGCCACUCAGUCCAAAUCCUAGCACAACUAGGUCAAAUAUGCAAAAUACCAAACCAGAACCAUAAUUGCAGGUUUACAAAUUGCACUAUACUGUAAUUAGUCCAACUCAGUCUAUACAGGUCCGAAUGCAGAAAUUCCAAAGGAAUAUGAUAGCUAGGACAUCAAGCUACAUUUCAUCAGAAGACCUGAACAACCAAAUCCAAAGCAAUUCCAGUCAAAACAGCCGAUUACAGGCGCAGUUCGGCCAUCCUGAUGAACCCAGAACAGCAAUAGUAAAUUCGACAUUUCUCACUCUACACUACUCCAAAUGACCUGAAAUUUUACAGGCACCUCAAACACAUCAAUACCUACAACUUUCAUGUUUUAAUCCAAGGCCAAUUCGGCCUCUAACCAUGAGAUACAAAACCGGACAGAAUUGGGGAUAUAAAACCCUAACUUUCUCAAAUUCCUUCCAAACCCAAAAUUGCUUGCAAUUACCAAUCAUGUACACCUACUAGAGUCAUUACCCUUCAUUACCAACCAUCAUAGAUAACCACAACAUCAUGAUCACAUUAAACCAGAAAAUACACCAUUAAAUUGAAAACUUCAUCAUUUCAUCCAAAAACAAGAAAUAAAUCACAGAUGUCAUCACUUUAGCUUCCACUAAGCACAACUCAAGCUUCAUUAAGUGUAGGAGGAAGUUCAAACACCACUUACCUAGAACACAAGAGAGGGAGAGUUGUAGGACACCUUAGCUUCCUUGAACACUUCCACAAAAUCACUUACUAGCACCAAAUGGAGGGAUUUGAUGGAGUAGAAAGCAAUUGGUUUGGAUGAUUUGCACUAGAUGGAAGCUUGAAAAUUGGAGAAGUUUUCUUUCUUUUCCCAGAGAGAGAGCCGGCCAAGAAGUUGAAGACAAGAAUGAAUUUUGUGUGAUUUUUGAGAUAUUUAAGCAAUUGGUCAAAAGUCAAGAAAAUGAAUAGUUGUCCUACAAGUGCCACCAUUCACCAAGUGACACUUGUCACUACAUUUAAAGCAUUUCUAUCCUUUAAGUCUCUCUCACAUCAAUCACAUCUCAUCCUCUACUUAUCUCUUAACGCCCGAUAAAUUUCACUCAGUAUCCGAAACUCAACCUACUUGGCCAAAUUUUUCCGAACUUUUCGCACUAGUGGGUCCCACGUCCAUUAUAUAUCCUUAAUUUUUCAAAAACUAUCUAAUACUAGAAAAAUCAUUUAAAAACUAUAAUUACUCAUAAAAUCCACCAAGAAAAUUUUCCUAAGCCAGAAAAUGCAGAAAACAUGCCAUUAAAGGAAAUAAACCCUAGGAAAAUUAUUAAGAGGAAUUUACGGGUUCUCACAUCAAAUCUGCGAUAAAAUAUCAUUUAAGAGUUGGAAAUCAACUAGGGCUCAAAACUUAAGAGUUUCGCUUAAAGAAAAUCAAGUAACUGAAACUCAUUUAGGUAGUAUUCAUGCUCGCUCUUAAACUUUGAAACUUUGAAGAGAUUAAACUUUGAAAUCACCAUUUGAGUCGUAGUGACAAGAAAAACGUACUUCUAUUAUUCGUUACUUUUAUUUUCCAAGGGUACAAGUUUCGGCCGAAUUCUAACUUAUAUACCUCUACAAAAGAGGACUCGAACAACCUAGACAAUUCGAGUUAAAUUCAUCCUCAAAUCCUUAUACAAGUCACGAGUAUAUCUACCUAGCCCUUAAGUGAAAAUUUGGGCAGCACGCCCUUUGGAUUUAUCUAUUUUUCAGCCAUUUAUGGCUUCAUUAUUUUUCUCAAUUCAACCCCAAAAUCUCACACAAAUAAUCUUACCACAAUAGCCUUUCAAUUAGGCUCAAUGUCAUUCAAUUACAAAAUAAUGCUAGCAAAUUGAUCGGAAAUAAUGUUUAAGACAAAGAACAAAAUAACAGGUUUGACGUCUCUUAGCAUAUCGGUCACAACCGAAGCUGCGCUUAUCGGAUUGAGGUACACUUUAUACCUUUUCGAAGCUAAAACAAAGGGCUACAACUUUCAUGAAGACAACUCAAUGCUAAUUUGAUAUGGAUCAAAGUGAAAAAUGAAGCCAAAAAUGUGAAAUCUCAAAACUGCCUGCUGAAAAGAACAUUUGGCAGUCAGGGGUAUUUUAGUCAUUUCACAUGUUACAGUGUUCUGAUUGAGCUGAUAUUUUACAGGAAGAUAUAAAACACCAUUUUCUACAACUUUCAUGUUUUGAGCUAAGCCUGAUUCGGCCUCUAACAUGGACGAAUGAAGCUGGUCAGAACAGAACAACUUGGUUUCCAAUUUCUGGAAUUUGCACCUUUACUCUAGAAAUUCAUAUCUAACAAGUGCUCUAUCAUCAAACCCACCAAUUACUAGCUCAACAACAUCAAUUAAGAGGUAGAGAACCAUAUUCAAGGCUGAAAAUAUAAACCCUAGCUAAACAUUCCAACCUAUCAUUCAACCCAUGAAAUUUUCCCCAUUAAACUAUCAAAACUACAACUUUAAGCUUCUAGUUUACAUAUAUAUGAAGUAGAGGGAAGUUUCUUACCAAAGUCACCUUAAUCCCUAUGCAAAGAAGCUGCCAAGACCUUCCUCUUCCCAAAUCACUCUACCAAAACCCUUAAGCUUCCUUAGAGAUCAACUUUUGUGGAGGAAUUUGCAAGAUUAUCGGUUGAAACUCAAGAUUAAGGCUUGAAAUUAAGGUGCAAGAUGAUGUUUUCUCUCCCUUUCUCUCUCUCAAGUUUCGGCCAGCAAUAUGCAGAAAUGAAGAAGAAACAAAGCUCUAGAAAAGAUAAGAAGGUUGGAAUUAAGUUGAGCCUUCGGGGGUUGACCCUCCGUCAUUACAUGCAAUCGAACUGAGUUGUAAUUGGAAAUUAGAUGCAACAACACUUAUGAAAAUCAGUUCCAUUCAUACUUAUUCAGCGAUAUUACAUGCAACAACACUUAUGAAAAUUAGGCCAACAAAUUAUCAUACUUAUUCUCCCCUGCAAUUAACUUUUGGUUAUGAACCCAAUGUUUCUCAUUUACGAAUAUUUGGUUGUGCAUUUUAUGUUCCAAUUACACCACCUCAACAUCAUAAAUUGGGCCCCCAAAAACGAUAGGCGAUAUAUGUUGGGUAUGAAUCACCUUUGAUAAUUAAGUAUAUUGAGUCAUUGACAAGUGAUUUGUUUACGACAAGAUUUGCAUAUUGUCAUUUGAUGAAUCACAUUUCUCGAUAUUAGGGGAGGUAAAGAUUAAUCAAAAAGGGAAAAGAAAAUCAAUUGAAAAAUAUCAUUGAAUUUUCUUGAUUCUUGUACAAAAGAAUGUGAACUAGAAGUUCAAAAGAUUAUACAUUUGCAAAAAAUUAUAAAUCAAUUAUCGGAUGCAUUUAAUGACUCCAGAAGAGUUACCAAAUCAUAUAUUCCUGCUGAAAAUGUUUUGAUUAAAAUUAAUGUCUCUGAAAGAUAAAUUACAAAUGCUGAUAAAUCUAAAAGUACGCCUAAAACGUGGGAGAACUCUUGGUUCCAAAGAUAAAAAUUCUCAAAAGAAAAGAGAAUUAGAUCAGUUAAUAAUUAGUGACAAAAUUUAACCUCCCGAAGAGGUCACUCUUAAAGAACCAACUCUUGAAGAGAAUGAAAUUAUAGAAAAUUCAAUAAAUUGUCACCACAAGGAAAAGUUGGAACUGAAGAAAAAUAAUUGUUGAUAGUAUUUUUGCAUAUAAUGUAACACUUGAUAUUAUGAUAGAAGACGAGAAUCAUGAGCCUAAAUCAAUUGAUGAAUGUCGGUAUAAAAAUGAUUGGUCAAAAUGGAAAGAUACGAUACGAUCUGAAUUAGAUUCAUUGGCUAAAAGAAAGUUUUUAGACCUGUGGUCCAAACAUCUGAAGGUGUAAAGUGUGAGAACCCGAAUUUUUACUUACUUUAAUUCUAUAUUACUGGCUUAGUUAAUUAUUUAUUCAACCAUUUUCUCCGAAUAAUUUAUUUCAACCAUUCUAAAUUCGUUUACAUGGAACAAUGUCUCACUUAUAUUUUUAAAACGUCCCCGUUAGCAAAUUUAAUUUUUCUGCGGCUCGUCUAGUAAGGAAUAACGAGUACACAUUUUUCCAGGCAAUAUUCGAUCCGAGAGUGCAAUAAUCUAGGAGAAUUAAGAAUGAUCAUUAGUAGACUAAGAAAAAUUAAUUGAAGAAUUAGAGGUGAGUGAGUUCAAAAUUUCGCUUUAUCGCGCGCGAGUCGAAAGUUCGUGCAUUUUGCGUCGGAACGACUAAGUGGAGAUUUGAGAAAUUAAUGUUAGACUCGUAAGUGUGAGUAAUUACAAUGUUAGAGGAAGUACCUUGGAGGAUUAGUACAUGAGUGUAUCAUACCCGAGAGAAAAUGAUUGUACGAAACCCUCGCGCGACAACUAUUCAAAGUUGACUUUUACCAAACUUAACCACUACUUUUCCAUCCAAGCUUCCAAGACAAGCCACAACACAGAACUCUUUUAUUUCUCUCUCUCCAUUUUCGGCCAAAGCAAGACAAGAAAAGGGAAGGAAGAAAGCUUCACAAAUCUUGCUCCAAUCUUGCUCCAAAUCUUCAUCCAACUUCACACCUCUUGGAAAUCAACUCUAGCUUGAAGAAAAACAACAUCUUGUGGAGUUUCUUGGGGAGUUUUUGGUGGAAAAAUCUGAUUUCAUCUAGGAUUUAAAGAGGUAACCUUCAUCUCCUUUAAUCUUUCCAAUUUCUUCAAGAUUUAAACUUAGUUUGCAUGGUUUUACAACCCUAAGCAAGAAACUAGGUUAGAGGACUUGAGGAAACCAUUUACUUUGCUUUAAUCUCUAGGCUAGCGGUCUUGAGGAGGCUUGUAGGUAGCUGCCUUGAGGAUUUUUUGCUUGGUUAAUGUUGUUUGUGUGAUGAAUGAGAGGAUUAUGGUUAGAAAAUGGAGAGAAAGUUGGAAAAUGGUGGAGGUUGAGCUGGCCGAAAAAUUCUGUCCAUGUUGUUCAGUUUUAUUUCAAAAUUUUGAUCCUUGGUUGACUGUGAAAUUGAUGGAUAUAUGUUGUAUAUUGUGUGUACAAAGUAUCUUUCAAAAAUCGUUUCAUUUGGUUGCAUAAAACUUGAACUUUGGCAAGAUUCAAAUCUGGAAAUCGUAUAGCAGGGGUACUCGGACAGUGCUUCUUUGUUUGAACGUAACUCUCUGUAAAAAAGUCAAAAUUGAGUGCCAUUUAUGGCAUUCAAAACUAGACAUUCAUAGCUUUCCAACGGUAUAAAGAUCUCCUGGUGGUUCAUUUUGAGUGAACCGUAGUGAGUCGACAAAGUUGGCUGUUCUGUUUUGACUGUUCAUACGAAUGAAACUGGAAGCUGCAUAUUGUGGCUCGAUUUUGUCGCACUUGUGGAAAGAUUUUCAAAAUGAUGUCUUCUGAUGAAUUGUAGAAUUUGGAACAUAUUUCCAACACCACUAACCAUUCUCAAUUUGAAUUUGUAUAGAGUUAGAUAUGGUUUGAUUUCGAAAACGCGAUAAAGCUGGAAACUGGAAACCUUUUCCCUUUCUUGUUGGCCGAAUGGUCAAAUCUGUUUUGGGAUAUUUUGCCUCAAAAAUUUUUGUGCCAAUUGCUUGUCAAUUUCUUAUUAAAUGUUUCUGGAACCUUGUUUUAAAAAAUGGAGUGAAUUGGGAUUGAUUUCAUUGGACAAAAACCUUUGGAAAGAAAGAAAGAGUGGGUUGGCAGAUUUGCUUUAAACAUUUCACAAACUUUGGUCAUUUUUUUAACUACCUUCCCGUUCGAGUUUUUAUCUAAAUUUUCAUAGAGAGGUAUUUCAUAUAUGGAAGUUUAAGUGUACCAAAUUUGGUGUAAUUUCAAGACCAUUUCGAUAUCCAAAUGAUGCCCCAAAGAUUGCUCUUCAAAUCUGGAAAUUCACUGUUGAAGUAGUAAAAAAAAAAUUAACCGACUUUAAGCUGUUAUAUCUUGUUGCUCAAAACUCCGAAUUUAGUUCCGCUUAUUUUGUUUGAAGAUUUAUUUGGAACUCUUAUUGUAUUACGAAUUUUAAAGGCUGAUUCACUUUUUAUGAAUUUUGCCGAAUUUCCAAACAUCGCCGAAAACCAAGACUGGUUCUAUCUUACCUUCUUCAAUCAGCAACUUUGAGCUGAAAAAUGAAUACUUUCCAUUUAGAAUCUUGGAAAUAUGUCUUCUAGGAACUUUUAGUACUUUGGAUUUAGUUUCUAACGGUAUAAAGUUUUCCAUUUUUGGACAUGCCAAACUCAAGAUUUGAUUUUCCAAAUAUUUUCACGCAAAGCUGAAAAUUCAUGAUUUCGUGGGAAAUGAGUUUUUGAGAACUUUUCAUUGUCUUUCGAUAUCAAUCAUCCGUUUUAAACUCAUUUUCAUGGAGGAUGCAAGUUUUUCUUGUGACUUUAAAUCCUCACUUUUGAAUCUCGAUUCUAGAGAUAUUAAAGCUCUUUUAACACAUUGUCUUAGUAUUAUGCAAGUGUACAUUCUUCCUUGUGUGGCAAGGGAUUUGUAAGUAUUUGUGAAUGAUAGAUAAUUGUUAUUUCUUCAGGCGCUCAAGAGGAUCUUGAACAAAAUCUCGGAGCCGAUCACUAAAGAUCUUAUUUUGCACUUACUCAUUAGUUUUGAAUUGGUGAGUGUCAAGUGCAUGAAUAAUUGCCAAUUAUGUAAAUUGCUUCUUAUUGAUUAAGUUAUUUACAAUUGUCGAGUCGAGUGUGUACUUUAUCGCACUCGUUCUCUUUUAAUUGAUUAUAUAAUUGAAUUGCUCAUAAUUGAAUGUAUAAUUGUGGUUGUAUCUGCCGGUUAGAGUGAAUCUCAUCGGCUUAUAAUUGUAUUUGUUGAUUGGAGUGAAUCUCAUAGACUCAUAAUAAAAAUCGGGGGACGCCCAAAUCUCAAUUGGCCGACCUUGCGACUCGAGCCAACAUGGGCUUGGUCGAGAAGCUCGAUUAACCAUGAGAUAAUCAAAAACUUUGUGACGACCCCACCUCCCCCUAGGGCGUACCCCAGGGUUUAGCGGACAGCCUGCCCAACUCUCGCCAAGACUCACUCACUCACUUCAAAUAAAAUAGGGUACAACCUCAAGAAUAAAGGAAAUAACAGUUACCAAGUUUGGAAAGUACAAAUAUGUUCAUUUAUGUCUCAACAUCCAUACAACCCCUAAUACAUCAAAACAUUGGAGUUCUAAAUACAUUCAAUCCUAAUCGAGCGAUUAGUGCGAGUACAAUUACAAAUUUUCAAAAAAACUAGACUACAUUAGCCUGUACCAGUCUCACGCCUCGCUCGUACUCCCUGUAAGGAAAACAAAUGGCGUGGAAUAAGCUAAAAAUUCAGUGAGGUUCCAAAUAGCAAAGUUGACUAUUAUUGAAAAGUUCACGUAUCAAAAUAGCAAAGUAGUGAGCAUAACAAGUCCAUAAAAGUGAGCAAUAACACUUCAAGUAGCAAAUCUCAAAAUGAGCGAGUGUAAAAUUCUUUUCUGUAAAAUUCUUUUCUAAAAGAAAUAAUAACACUACAAAUAACAACCAAGGUAUAAGAAUACAGAUGGCUCUCAAGAGCCAAUUUUUCGUUGCUUCACCAGAGCUUGAUCAAGUAUUAGUUGACACUCCAUCAACUUUCAAGUAAAGUAACCAAUCCAGUAGUGCUUCGGUUAACACCAAUCUGUCCACCAUUCAUUCCCCUUACCGGGCCCGAACACCAACUAAACACUGGUGGUAAUACUCGAGUAUACCGAUUAGUCGAGGAGAUAACACUCCACUCGACAACACUAGAUACCCAUGGUUCGUUAUCUAAUCGACCAAGCCCUUGCCAGCUCGACUCGAUUAACUAGCCAGUGGGGUUUGGGUUCCCAAGUAGUCACUAUAGUCGAUGACCAAUCGACUUAGUCAAGAGAAAAGUACGGAGACGGGAAUGAGAGGUACCUCCCACUCGUAUCGAGUGUGGUACAUACUGCCGCUCAGCACUUAAAAGUCAAGCACAAGUACAAAUACAAAUACAGAUCACUGCAAAUCAAGUCACUUGUACAAGCAUGAAUGAGAUAUCAAGUAUUUAGUUGAGUUAGGUCAAGUGCGAUAAAGUACACACUUGCCCGACCAAAUCAAGCAAAUUUUAUCCGAUCACAUUGGUAAAGCAAAUAUCAAGUUCAAUCAUGUAUUUGGAAGCACUCACCAAAGAUUUAGUGCUUGCCAAAAUUACGUUCAGGUGUAACUCCUUCGUUGGAGUCCAAAUCAGCGAUAAAACAUCGUUUAAGAGCUUUGAAAUUAACUAAGGUUCGAAACUUAAGCGUUUUGUUUAACGAAAAUCAAGUAACUGAAACUCAUUUAGGUAAUAUUCAUAUUACUUAUCAUACCCUAGAAAACUCAUGCUCGCUCUUUUAGUUAUGGUAAGGAAGUGAUUAAAACUUUAGAAUUCUCAUUUGAGUCAAAAAGAUGAAGAAAACGUAUUUCUAUUGGUCGCUACUUCCAUAUUUUCAAGGGUACGAGUUUUGGCCAAAUUCCAGCUUAUAUACCUCUACGAAAGAAGACUCGAAUGCCCUAGACAAUUCGAGUUCAAUUCAACCUCAAUUCUUCGCUCGAACCACAAGUACACACGUCUAGUCCUCGAGUGAGCGGCACGCCCUUUGUAUUUAGCUAUUUUCCAGCCAUUUAUGGCUUCAUUGUUUUCCUCAAAUCAGCCCCAAAGUCACACACAAGCAAUGUUAUCACAAUAGGCCUUCAACUAGGCUUAAUGUCAUUCAAUUACAAAACAAUACUAGUAAUAUGUUCGGAAACCAAGUUUAAGGACACACAAUAAAACAGUAGGUUUGACGUCUCUUGGCGUUUUGGUCACAACUGAAGCUACGCAUAUCGGUUUGGGGUACACUUUAUACCAUUUCGAAGCUAAGACAGAGAAAUACAAGUCUUAUGAAGACAUUGACAGCCAAUUCAUUCAUUUUCAAGGUCAAAAGGUGUAAUCUCAGAGAAAACAGAAAACUGUCCGCGAAACAGUGCAUAUGGCAGUCAGGGGUAAUUUUGUCAUUUCACAUGAUACAGUACUCCGAUUGAGCUGAACUUUUACAGGCAGCUAUAUAACUCCAUUCCCUACAACUUUCAUGUUUUGACCUAAGCCUGAUUAGGCCUCUAACAUGGACAAAUUAAACAGGUCAGAAAUAGGGCAGAUUCAUCCUUAAAGUUGGAAAUUUGAUGAUUCAAUACUUGAAAAUUACAUUUAUAUCUUGAAUCACAACCCCAAGUCCCUAUCCAAGCUCACCAACAUCAUAUACUAGAUAAAAAAAAAGAAUCACAACUAAAAAUAUCAAACCCUAACUAAAAAGUCCACCAUAUCAUGCAAAACUCACUAAUUAACCGUCAUAAGCCAAGAAUAUGAGUUUCUAUCCAAACUUAAACAAGAUCAAGGAAGAGGAAAAGGAAAGGCAGCCAUGAUACCUUCCAAAGGUCCUUUGUAAAUGAGAAAUACACCACUUUCUUCCCAAAUUUUCAGCACCCCUAGGCUUCCAAGCACCAAAAGGAGAGGCUAAUCGGUUUAGUUCGGUUACUUGCACUCAAACAAAGAUGGAUUCAAGGUGAAGGUUGCUAGUUUCUCUCUUGUGUUUUUCUGUCUUGAAGCUCGGCUGGAAUCUGCAGAAAUGAAGAGGAAAAGAAGUGAAUUUGGUGAUAAAAAUGAAGAAAAUUGGUUGGUCAAACAACCCUUAGAUGGUUACCACUUAUCACUCCAAGAUUAAGUCUUCAAUUUUUCUUCUUUUUCCCUUUCUUUUUGGUCAAUAAUUUCGGCCCUCUCUAGGAUAAUUAAGGGCUGAUAUUUCUGCAAUAAUAACAAGAAUAUUAAGGUAUUAAAGUGGUGUUCAAGUGGUGUACUCAAUCGGUAACAAACAGUACACGUCGGUUCAACCCGUUUUUCCUUAUUUCGCACGUACUAGAGUUUUAACUUAUGAUUCACUAACUUAUUAUUAUUACUUCUAAUCACACACUUUCUCUUAUCUAAAACUCACUCUUAAUCACCAAAAUUGAGUACACACUCCACACCGAUUAUUACUCUACCAAAAGAUGCAAAAACCCUAGUUUACCUUUAACAAUGAAAGUAAAGGAAAAACCCUUGGUCCUAUAAUUAAUUGUAACUAUUGAGGGAGUGAAUGAGUAGUUUGAGUAGUAAAACUAUCAUAAAGUAAUUGAGUCAAAAUAAAAGAAAAUUUUAAGAAAAUAUGAGCGAAUUUUCCAAUCGUCACAAACUUGAUCUAUUAAGAGAUCUCGUUUGGCAUACUCAUAGAGUAGUGCCUUUUAUAAAAGAAGUGCGGGCCCGGAGCAGGGGGUGUAACGGUGAGCGGGAAUGAAAAGUAAGUGGAGUUCUACGGACUUAAUACCUACUCGGUUUUGACGGAGUAUCAUCACAUGGAGAUAUUUGAUCGAGCCUUGGCGAAGCGAGUGGAAUCUAGCUCCUGAGAGCUUCUGUAUCCAUCAUGUGUGUUAAAGUUAUUUAUGAGUUACUUGAACUUCUUUGUUUUAUUUCUCGUACAAAUGCCAUUGCUACUUGAACUACGUGUUUGCAUGUUUUCUUUGCCUCACUGAACGUCAGCUCAUCCCAUUAGUUUUGUUUUCCUUAACAGGAGUUUGGAAUGGAAAGAAUUUUGGAGAAACCAGUCUAAUUACUUUUGAUUAGUAUUUUGGGAUGUAAUUGAUUAGCCGACUUCUAGUGGUUGUAUUUUGGGGAAAGUGAUGCACUUUUGAUAAUUAUGAUGUAAGACUUGAAAGUUUAUUUAAGGAAGCGACUUUUCUUUACUUCAACUAUUAUUCUUUGGUUGUUUAUCCUUAAAUUUGAAUUGGAUUCGUAUUGAGUCCUGGCGAGAGUUGAGCAGACGUUCCGCGGAUACCAUUGAGUUCGCCCUAGGGAGAAGUGGGGGCAUCACAUAAAGUCAGUAGGAUAUAAAUGGAUAUUUGCGGGCAAAAGAAAUUAGAAAAAUAAAAUUGUGAAAUAUAAAGCAAGCCUUGUAACUCAAGAAAUUUCACAAAGACUUGGAUUUGAUUAUGAUGAAACGUAUUCACUUGUAGUGGAUGCAAUCACAUUUAGAUAUCUUGUGAGUUUCGCAGUGCAUGAAAAACUUGAUAUGUGUCUAAUGGACGUAGUUACUAUUUAUUUAUAUGAAAAUCUUAAAAAUGAUAUUUAUAUGAGAAUCCGCAAAUGAUUCAACAUGCCUGAUGUAAAUCAAAUGCUAAAAAUAUUUAUUCUAUUAAAUUACAAAGGUUUUUGCAUGGAUUCAAACAAUCUGAAUAUAUGUGGUAUAACCACCUCAAUGAAUGCUUAAUUAAAGAAGAUUAUACCAAUAAUCCAAUAUGUCCAUGUAUUUUUAUCAAAAAAAAGGGUUAAAUUUUGUGAUGAUUGCUAUAUAUGUUGAUAAUCUUCAUCUAAUUAGAACUCUUGAAGAGAUCCAAAAUACUGUUGAAUGUUUGAAGAAAAAUUUGAGAUUAAAGAUUUUGGAAAGACAAAACUCUGCCUUGAUUUACAAAUUGAGUAUUUGGAAGGUGGAAUUUUUGCCCACCAAACUACUUCUAUCCAAAAGGUAUUAAAGCGAUUUUAUAUGGAUAAGACGCAUAUAUUAAGUACCCUAAUAGUCGUUAGUUCAUUGGAUCUUAAUAAGAAUUCUUUUAGACCGUGAGAGGAAGAUGAAUGAUAUUUAGUUCUAAAGCACUAUAUCUCAAUGUGAUUGAUGCACUAAUGUAUCUUGCUAAUUGUACAAAACCUGAUAUAUCAUUUGUAGUGAAUUUAUUAGCAAGAUUUUGCUCCUCUCCUACAACAUUGGAAUGAUAUUAAACAUUUUUUUUGCUAUCUCUACGGAAUGAUAUUUAUCAAAUCCACAUAAAAUAAAAUCUCAUACUGCUUAUCUAUUUACAUGUGGUGAUGCAGUUAUUUUUUGGCGAUCUACAAAGCAAUCAAUAGCAACCACUUCAUCGAAUCAUGUUGAAACAAUAGCAAUUUAUAAAGCCAGUCGAGAAUGUGUUUAGUUAAGACCAAUGACCCACUACAUCUGAAAGACUUAUGGGUUAUCCUCAGAGAAAAAAAAUCCUUCAACUAUAUUAUAUGAAAAUAAUGCAACUUGUAUAACUCAAUUGAAAGGAAGAUACAUUAAAGGAGUUAGGACGAAACAUAUUUCAUCAAAAUGCUUCUUUGCUCAUGAUUUGUAAAGAAAUGGUGAAAUUGAAGUGUAACAAAUCCAAUCAGAUAAUAAUUUGGUAAAUUUAUUUACCAAGGUAUUACCAACUACAACUUUUGAGAAAUUUGUAAAGAAUAUUGGAAUGCGUCAGGUAAAAAAUCUCAAAUAAUGUUUGCAUCAGAGGGAGAAAUUAAUACACAAGAAUAGUGUACAUUUUUAAUUUCAUUAAGAUUUUUGUCCCAUUGAAUUUUUCCCUAAUAAAGUUUUAACGAAGCAUAUUCUGUGUAAUUGACAUUCAAGUGAGAAUGUUAUGAAACAACUAAAGAUGUGGAUGUGUAUUCUUGAGAAGAUUGAUUCAUGAAUCCUCCACAAUAUCCAUUGGUACAUUGAAUGAAUUCUAUUAUUAUUCGUUAGUUCAUUAAUAGAGCCAUCCUAUUUCUGAACAAGUGUUUAAUAGGAUUCAUGUAUGUAUAAUCUUAUAUUACCCAUAUAUAGAGGUAUCAUAACCUCUCAUGUAACAACUUUUGAUCAAUUAAAAUAAUAAGAAAAUAAUUCUCAAUUCUCUCUCUACUUCUUACUCUUCAGUUUAGUAAUUUAUUUUAUUAAUUUCACAAUAUACUUUACUUUAUUUUUAUUUAUUUGUUUGUUUAUUGGGAUUUCAAAUUCCCUACAAGCUUGUUAACCCUCACUAUUAUCUCAAUAGAUACAGAACUACCCAUUCCAUGACGCCUAAUAUUUCUCUGUUAUACUAACACAUUAUACAGCCAAAGUAACAAAAUACAGUCAAAGAGGAACGGUUUCCUGGCUUUUAUGUUCCUAUGACCGCCGUUCUUGACUUCUUCUCCAAUCAAAAAUGACAGGUAAAACAGAUUUCUUGAUUGCAAACGACUGAACAAUGACAAAUACCAUUGAGAGCGACGGAGUGAUCAACCAUAGCUUUGAUCUUUUAAGAAUGCCAUUUCUUACAAAUUACGAACUGGUUGCACCAAUAAGAAUAUAUACGACAUAUUUCACUCACUAAAGAUCUAUAAUGCAUGUUUUUACAAGAUUUAGUGUGAUGCAAUUCAAUCUGCUCUCGGCAACAAAUAAACUCAAUUUAUCCUUGAGCUGUUCCUCCUUCCCCACCAUUUUUUUCUUCCCUUGUCCCCAGACCCCUC
rnacentral:lncRNA from 1 species